CUUCGCUCUGAUUGGCCUGUGCCGGGGAGGCCGACCAGGAGCUCCUCGCCUUGUCCCCAUUCUCAUUGGCUGACGUGUCUGGUGGGUGUGUGCGGGUUUCUGCGCGCCGAUUGGUCCAACUCCGAUCCUCAGCGGCCGGCUCAGCGGGGUGUGCGCACGGGCGGCGCUGAGCCCAAGUCGCGCUGCUGGGGCGGAUCUGCGGGCGGACCCGGAGCGCUGCGGCACGUGCUGUGGCGACCACGGUGGGUCGUGCGGGAGACUGGUUCUGUGAAGAGUCCUUGCCCGUCGCACUCUCCUUCUGGCUGGCCCGGAUGUCAGCAGCCGAGCCUGCGGAUAUCUGCACUUCCCCAUAUCCAUCGAUGGAGGACAGAUCGGCAGCAGAUUCAGGAGCUGGGGCCGGGGCUGCUGCCGAGCUGGGACCUGCCGGAACCGGAGCCGCGACCCGCUGCUACCCGCCCCUUGCCCCAAUAAAGCUCCCCCGUGUCCAUGUGGCUCGUUUCAAUAAAGGUGUUUGACCCCGUGUCCGUGUAUCUCCCACACCCCCGGGGUAGGGGUCGGUGGGGGCAGGGGGUUACCUGCCAGCCCCGGCGCUUCCCCCGCUUGUGCCCGGGGCUUCCCCUCCCUCUUCCCGCCUCGUCAGUCCGCUCUGCCCCGGGCUCCUUCUCUCCCCUGCGGUCACGUCCCGCCUUUCUUCUCGGCUCUUUCCCCACUUUUCUCCCUCCCUUCUCUGCUCUGCCCGUUUCUUCCCGGGAAUUCUCUCUUCCUGGGCUCGUCCCCCGCUCCCGGCUCUUGCUCCCCGCUCCGGGUCUGUCCCCAGCUUAGCUCCAGGGUCUUGCCCGCUUUCUGCGCCCGCCCCGGGCGGGUCCCCCUUCCUUCGCGCUCUUCCUCCUCGGGCUCUGCUCUCUGCCCGCUUUCCUCUCGGCCCCUUCCCUUCCCUUCCCUUUUCUGCGGGCUGCCCCUCUUCUGGGCUCUUGUCCUCCCGCCUGGGCUCUUCCUCCCUUUCUCGGGUCUUCCCCCUGCUUCCUUCUUGCGCUUUUCCUCUCCAGUCAGUCUCUUCCCCCUUUUCGGGGUCUUUCCUCCUCCUGCAGAUCUCCCACCACCACCUUGAUUCCUGGGUGUUUCCCUCCCUUCUCCUGGGCUCGUGUCCCCCGCUAUUCGUGGGGCUUUCUCCCCUUAUUCUUG